GAAAAUAUGCAGCUUAACUGUAAACAGUGCCCGUUGAUACUGUAGAGCUAGGAUUAGGGUUGCUGUGGGGCGGAAUGUGUGGUGUAGCGGUGAAAUGCUUAGAGAUCACACAGAAUAUCGAUUGCGAAGGCAGCGCACAAAGCCUAAAUUGACGCUGAGGCACGAAAGUGUGGGGAUCGAACAGGAUUAGAUACCCUGGUAGUCCACACUGUAAACGAUGAUAACUCGCUGUCGGCGAUAUACAGUCGGUGGCCAAGCGAAAGCGAUAAGUUAUCCACCUGGGGAGUACGACCGCAAGGUUGAAACUCAAAGGAAUUGACGGGGGCCCGCACAAGCGGAGGAACAUGUGGUUUAAUUCGAUGAUACGCGAGGAACCUUACCCGGGCUCGAGCGGUGCAUGAAUGUCAGAGAGAUUUGACAGUCCUUCGGGACAUGUAUCGAGGUGCUGCAUGGUUGUCGUCAGCUCGUGCCGUGAGGUGUCGGCUUAAGUGCCAUAACGAGCGCAACCCUUGUUGACAGUUACCAUCAGGUAAAGCUGGGGACUCUGUCGAGACUGCCACCGUAAGGUGUGAGGAAGGGGGGGAUGACGUCAAAUCAGCACGGCCCUUAUGUCCGGGGCGACACACGUGUUACAACGGGAGGUACAGAGGGCAGCUAUCCAGUGAUGGAGUGCAAAUCUCAAAAACCUUUCUCAGUUCGGAUUGGAGUCUGCAACUCGACUCCAUGAAGUUGGAUUCGCUAGUAAUCGCGCAUCAGCCAUGGCGCGGUGAAUACGUUCCCGGGCCUUGUACACACCGCCCGUCAAGCCAUGGAAGCUUGGGGUGCUUGAAGUUCGUGACCGCAAGGAGCGACCUAG
rnacentral:rRNA from 1 species